rnacentral:lncRNA from 1 species
CCCCCACCCGGGGCUCAGAGGACCCCCCCACUGUGCAGGAAAGCCAGGCUCCCCAGGGCCAUGCUCCUGCAAGCCAAUGGAUGCUUCUGUCCAGACAGGCUGUGAACAGUUACACAUUCCCUGCCGAAGGGGACCCAUGUCGUCGUCCCUCUGGGUUACAGCUGAGACAGGACCGCCGGCCCCCGCCCCCUCCCCACGGAGGCACCCAGUUCCUUUCCCAAUAUGAAAAUAAACUGUUACUGAAGGAAUUUUAGUUUUUUUUCUCUUCCUUCCUCUUUUAAAACACAGAAACUCUAUAAAGGUUCAGUGUUGGGGGCAAGGUGUGUCCCUAAAGCCAAAGCAACUCCCCAAAAUUGGUGCAGGGCGGGGCGGGUACAGAGGCUCACAUCCUGCAGAAGCAGGUUGGACCCCAGCGUCCUUGGAUGUACGCAGUUCCACACUGGCACGUAGGAAAGGCCGGGGGGCAAUGGCUGCUUGACCUCAGACCAUAUAUUUCUUCUCAAUAUUGAUUUUUCAGUUCAAGAAGCCAAUUAACAGUCAACCCAAGAUUGAAAGGGACAAGGCCAGCUGUUCCCCCCAGGAAGCCCAAAAGGGUAGAACAGACUGCCACCAACACACCAGCCCAUCAUCCCUCAGUCUCUGGCAUAACUUCUCUUCCUGGACCCAUCCCCUUUGACUGCCUCAUCACGUUUUCGGGGUUGGGGUCUCAUUGGCCAGGAUUUAAUUAGUAUGUGGGCUAUGCUGGGUCCCCUAGAGGGCCUGCCAUUGUGUCUUCUGUGAAUGAGAAAAAAAGAGGUGUGCGUGUGUAGUGAGAUCUCCUAGGGUUCAUCCCUCCCUCGGUGAAUCUGCUGGAAUUCCUGGAGUGACCCUGCCACCUCUCCCCAUCUGCAGGGUGUUCCCAUUUUCUGCAGAAAGCUAACGGGAGAAGAGGUGAUAACCUGUAUACAGCACUUUUUUUUAUUACUUGAAAAUCUUUUAGAGUUCAGGCCACCAUGCCUGUGUAUGCACAUACGGUUUUUAAAGUAUAGGUUACCCUGGUGCCCUGCUGGACCCUGAGCCCUGCAGAUCUGUCCUGACAGAACAUUCCCAGGACACCCACUUCUCAAGGAGUCGUUGGCCCGACACUGGAUCCUCUCUCAGAGGAAUCUUGGGAAAUAUCACGUUGGGAUAUCAGUUUGUUGUCACCGAGAUGUCCCCUGUUUUCCCCUGUACACAUAAUUGCCUUACUGAGGAAGAGAUCUCCCUCUGGGCUCAGGGUGGGGGCACUCCAUCCAGUGUCACACUCAUGGGGCCAGUCCGUCAAGAGCUACUGCUGGAGUUUAACUGUGCACACCAUUUCCCUUCCCCACCGUGCAUGUGUCCUGCUUGCAGAGGCCCCCAGCUGUCCCUGCAGCCUUCGUAUGGAGGACCGCAUGCGGCUGCAAUCCAGGUGGGGAAUCUAGACAAGAAACCUCAUGUGUGUAAUGCGGCUUCAGCCGAAAGCCAGGCUGAAUGUGCCCACUGUCCUCUGGGGCUGAACUGGCUGUCCUUGCUUCUGCGUAUGGGUUGAUGCAGGAGUUUGCUGGAUUCAUUUGACUUAGGGGCACACCUACCCUCUUGGGUAACAACCCUGGACUGAAAAGUGGGAUCCCUUGGAUGUGGGCUAUAGGACCUCGAAGGGAGGGGCUUGUCAAAGGCAUGGUGUCCUGAGCAAACCAACAGUGCCCCUGCAGGCUGCUGGCUGUGGGACCCUCAACUCUGGCCAAACUCCAGAUGCUGGACCACACUUUAUCUCUUCCCAUGGCCAGUUAGGCCAGUCCUUGAAAGUGGCUGCUGGAGAGGGACUAGGACAGACCCCCUGGUAGGCGUGGAGGGAGGGGGAGGGUGGUCUGCUGCUCCAUGAGGUUCUGAGAAAGUGACAAUUCUUGGCUCCCUUGGCCCACACUGCCAUCUCCAGUGCUUGCUCCAGAGAGGUCACGGCCCCUUCAGAGCUCCAGGCUGUGUAAAAGCAGAAAGGCUUUGCAGAGUCUGGGGCUAUGAGACUAGCUUUGUAGAGCUAGGGUCUGCAUGACUGACUGCUGCAAAAGAACCUUCUUUAUAGAAGUCUGUUGUGUUAGCAAAGAGUUAAGACGUGACCCCCAUACCCACAUUGGAUAGGGUCAGGCAGAUUCCAGGCCUUCUCUGUUCAAUUUUUCUCUGUUCUUGGUCAUCGUUGUGACCUGCGUGGCUGACUCCCAUGUCCCUCAGCCUCCAGAACCACAGAAUAUUGUAAUGAUGUGAAAAAUGCUCUCAUCUGUGCUCUGGACUUGAGAGCCAGAAAUGCUACCACACCACAGUCUAGUGGGCCACACCUCCUAUGUCACCAGCCACCCUUCCCCCAGCACACCGUCCGUCUGUCUGUCUGACUGCACUGCUGCUUGGCUCUGGGAUGCCCUUCUUUGCAGCUGUGUCCCCGCCCCACACCUUCUCUUCCUGGCUGACAAGCGGGAGACUGAAGCUGGUCUCUGUGUAUCUGUUAUCCUCAGUGCCAAUGUUGACGUUCUGAAAAGCCACAAUACACAAUAAAUUUUACAGCUCUUUGGAGAG